AGAGUUUGAUCCUGGCUCAGGAUGAACGCUGGCGGCGUGCUUAACACAUGCAAGUCGAACGAAGCACUCUAUUUGAUUUUCUUCGGAAAUGAAGAUUUUGUGACUGAGUGGCGGACGGGUGAGUAACGCGUGGGUAACCUGCCUCAUACAGGGGGAUAACAGUUGGAAACGACUGCUAAUACCGCAUAAGCGCACAGGAUCGCAUGAUCCGGUGUGAAAAACUCCGGUGGUAUGAGAUGGACCCGCGUCUGAUUAGCCAGUUGGCAGGGUAACGGCCUACCAAAGCGACGAUCAGUAGCCGACCUGAGAGGGUGACCGGCCACAUUGGGACUGAGACACGGCCCAAACUCCUACGGGAGGCAGCAGUGGGGAAUAUUGCACAAUGGGGGAAACCCUGAUGCAGCGACGCCGCGUGAGCGAAGAAGUAUUUCGGUAUGUAAAGCUCUAUCAGCAGGGAAGAAGAAUGACGGUACCUGACUAAGAAGCACCGGCUAAAUACGUGCCAGCAGCCGCGGUAAUACGUAUGGUGCAAGCGUUAUCCGGAUUUACUGGGUGUAAAGGGAGCGCAGGCGGUGCGGCAAGUCUGAUGUGAAAGCCCGGGGCUCAACCCCGGUACUGCAUUGGAAACUGUCGUACUAGAGUGUCGGAGGGGUAAGUGGAAUUCCUAGUGUAGCGGUGAAAUGCGUAGAUAUUAGGAGGAACACCAGUGGCGAAGGCGGCUUACUGGACGAUAACUGACGCUGAGGCUCGAAAGCGUGGGGAGCAAACAGGAUUAGAUACCCUGGUAGUCCACGCCGUAAACG
rnacentral:rRNA from 1 species